AUUCCAGACACCCCUAGCAUAAAAUGUCAGCAUCCACCGCGAUGCUUUCUCAAAUACCCCCAAAAUUCCUACAUCCAAAACCCUAGUUCUCCAUUCUCACAACAUCCCGAUUCUUCCAACCCCGUUGAAAUUCUAGAUCCUAUUGAAAUCGCUAGUCGAGUACAUGAAUUCUUGUAAAAUGAAAUCAUAUCAAGCCUGAAGAGUUCUUGAAGUUUCUAGAAGUUCAAGAAUCUGUUGCAGUGAAACAAAAGACUCGCUGGUUUUAGGGUUCAAAACUUUAAAGUAAAUUCUAUCCAAGACGCAAGCAAAUCAGAAGGGGAGGCACUAAAGAGGUCUGCUCAAGCGCUGAAAUAGAAGUCCAUUGAUCGUAACACAAAAGUGGUAGAUGAAGUUUCAAAAGAACCUGCUAUUACUUCAAAGAAAAAGGUGCUGCACAAAUUCAGCACUGAAGAUGAUAGAAAAGCAGGAUAGGAAACAUGAAAGAGUUCCGCUCGAUAACUGGAUAGUGGAAGAUUAAGUGUCAAAACAGCCUGCAAUUGGUUUGGAGAAAAUGAUGCUGGAAAAUGACUUAGAGGAGGCACUAAAGAGUUCUUCUCGAGCAUUGUAACAGAUGUCCAUUGACCAUGAGGUCCAUAACAGAGAAUUGGUAGAUGAAGUUUCAAAACAACCUCCUAUUACUUCAGAGAAAAAGGUGCUGGGAAAAUUCAGCACGAAAGAUGUUAGCAUAGCAGAAGAGGAGGCAUUAAAGAGUUCCACUGAAGCACCGAAACAGAAGAUCAGUGUCAAGUGUUAAAACAACCCGCACUUGCUUCGGAGGAGAUGGUUCCAGCGCUAAAGAUGUUAGCAGAGCAGAAGGGGACACAAAAUAGUUCUGCUCAAGGACAGUAACACAAGAUCAGCGACCAUAAUAGAAUAGUGGAAGAUGAAGUGUCAAAACAACCGGUAAUUGCUUCGGAGAAAAUGAUGUUGGAAAAAUUCGGCACCAAAGAUGCUAGCAAAGCAGCUGAGGAGGUACUAAGGAGUUCUGCUCAAGCACUGAAACAGAAGUCCAUCGACCACAAGGUCCCACAACCUGCUAUUAUUACUUCAGAGAAAAGUUGCUGGACCCAAUAUGUCAAUUCGUUCACUCUGAUUGCAGUUUCUGAUUGAGGUGGCAAGCAUUUGGAGGAUUUAAGUGAUGAUAAUGAUGUUAAUAACAUGGGUAGUGAUGUUAUUACCGGCAGCUGUGGUAAAAUGUCAUCUAAAGUCAACGUGGUGAUAAUUACCCUUGUCCAUCUACAUCUGAAGAACAGAAUUGGGGAUUUGGAGAUGAAGUGAAGGAGUGUUCCCCUUCUAUAGAUCCCUUAAGUUGUGGCCUGAAUAAAAAAUCAUCUGAUAAGAAACGGGAUUCGUUUCUCCAAUCACAGGCGAUUCAUUGUCCAGAUUUCUUAAAAGAAGAGUGAUGUUGAACAAUCACACGAAGGUAAAAUAAAAAUCGGCAGCAUGUGGUGUUGGGUAUGACUUUGUGAAAUUCCUUCAAGAGAAUGCUGAUGCUAAUGGCAGAUUUUAGUGCCGUGGAUAAUUUAAACCUUGUUAUAAUUGAUAACACUAAAUAUGUUCAUAAACGCGUGGAAGGAUGCAUGCCUGGUGCACUCUGUUGACGAGAUUUCAUGUAACUUCUACCCAAGAUGCAAACAAAGUAGAAGGAGAGACACCAAAGACUUCUUCUCGAGCACUGAAAUUGAAGUCCAUCGAUCACUACCAAAAAGUGGUAGGUGACAACCUGCUAUUACUUCAAAGAAAAAGCUGCUGGACAAAAGCAGGACUAAAGAUGCUAGAAAAGCAGAAGAUGAGACGUGAAAGAGUUCCUCUCAAGCACCGAAACAGAAGUUCAGCGACCAAAAUAAAAUAAUGGAAGGUGAAAUGUCAAAAACCCUGAAUUGCUUCUGAGGUACUGGUGUUUGAAAAAUUUGUGGAAGAUGAAGUGUCAAAGCAACCCGUUAUUGCUUCGGAGGUACUGGUGUUGGAAACAUAAGCACUAAAUAUGCUAGCAAAGCAGAAAAAGAGGUACACAGAGUUCUAAUCAGGCACUGAACAAAAGUGGAUAAAACAGAAGGUCAGCGACCAUAUUAGAAUAGUGGAAGAUGAAAUGUCAAAACAACCCGUAAGUGCUUCGGAGGUACUAGUGUUGGAAAAAUUCGUGGAAGAUGAAGUGUCAACACAAACCGUAAUUGCUUCAGAGGUACUGUUGUUUGAAAAAUCUAGCAAAGCAGAAGACAAGGCACUAAAGACUUGAAAUUUCAACAGAGUUCUGCUCAAGCACUGAACAAAAGUCAAUCGACCAUAACAGAGAAGUGGCAGUUAAAAUUUCAAUACAUACCAAUGUGUCAGUGAACAAGGUUCUGACAAACUCAGCUCCACAACCCAAUAUGUCAAGCUAUUCUCUCCCAUUCCAAUACAUUCUGAUUAAGGUGGCAAACUUUUGAAGGAUUUAAGUUAUAAUAAUGAUUUUAAUAGCAUGAGUAGUGAUGUUAGUAUAGGCAGUCCUGGUUAAAUGUCAUCAAAAGACGGAAAAUAUUCAGAUCAACUUGGUGAUAGUCACACUUGUCCAUCUACAGUCGAAGAACAUAAUGGAGGAUUUGGAGUUGAAGUGAAUGACUGUUGUCCUUCUAUCUUGUGACCCAAAUAAAAAGUCAUCUGAUUAAAAAGCGAGAUUCCAUUCUCCGGCAGCCGACUAUUCUUUUUCUGGAUGUCCUAAUAGGUAUAAAUCAGAUCCAAGGACCAUUCGGAAUUCUGAUCUUCCUAUUGCAAUUUACAACAACCGUUCUUUUGCUGAUCAUGACAAACUCUUUUGAAAGAAUGAUGUUGAGCAAUCACGUGAAGCUAAAAAAUUGGCAGUCUGUAGUGUUGGGGAUGACUUUGGGAAAUUCCCUCAAGAGAAAGCUGGUGAACAAUCACCUGAUGCUCAAAUUGAAAUGGCAGAUUUUAGUGCUGUGGGUAAUUUAAACCUUGUUCUAAUUAAUAAGUUCAUAAGCAUGUGGAAGGAGACAUGCCAGGUGCACUCUGUUAACGAGGUAUUUUGAAGAAAGUUCAUACGUAUUUUGAAAUGAUUCAUUGCAUUUAAUAAACAGAUUCUCCACUGGACUAACUACUCAUGUGCUCAAGAAUUUUAUGGGAGUGUGAGGCAUGGUUGACACACACUGCUCAUGGUGAAUUCUUCAAAUUUUCAGAGGCUAUCUGCUCUUAACUUCCUUAUGAAAUUGUCAGAGGCAAAUUGUUCUCAAUAUGUGACUCAUUUGGGUUCUUAGGAAGCAAAAUCUAGUCUCCCUCACAGCAACCAUCUUAAUUACUACUUCCAGUUUCUCUAAACCCUUAUAUCCAUCAAGAUACUUUCUUAGUUCCCACCCAAAAUCCUUACACCUCAAACCCUAGUUUUCCAUUCUAAGGAGACCCCAACACUUUUACCUACUUCAUCAAACCCCAUUAAAAUUCUGGAUAGGAUUGGAAGUGCAUUCCGCAAUUUCAGUUUACGGUUGAGUUCAUAUAUUCCUGUAAAGGGAAAUGUAUCAAGCCUGGAGUGGUUCUUGAUGGUUUUAGCAAGUAAAGAAUACGGUGCAGUGAAAGAAAGACUUGGUGUUACGAUUCAGAACUUGAAGUUUUUGAAAGGAUUUUCAAUUAUUAUAUGCACCAUCUCAAGGAAGAAAGGAGGUUGCAGUUUAUGCAUCACUGCCUAAGAAGGCAAAUAAAACAUUAACUUCAACUUAUCCAUGCAUUGGAUUAUUUAGUGUCGCUGGUUGACUGCUGGUGGGAUUUUGAAGAAAUUUGGUACAUAUUUUUAUACGAAUCAUUGCACCACAUCUUUUUCACCACCAAAUGAAUUUCCUACUUAGAAAUUGAUGGCGACGAUCUGGCUGAAUAUUUGAAGAAACAGGUAUGUAGUCACUUUGCUGGAGGUAACAACUGGAUUGAAGUGCGAUUAAAAGGAGGCUCUUGGAUCUGUUUCGCACCAUGUGCUUGCUCAGAGCACCAAUGUUAUCCGAUCUUCUGUCAUGGUGAUAUUUGGUCCUUUGCUUGCGGAUAGGUUGUUAAAUGACCAAGGGUCAAUAGCUGGAUAAAUAGAGCAGAAAGGCACAGGCUUCAAAUCCAGUUUUCCCUUUUUCAGGGAAAGCGAAAGAGCAAUUUAUCUAAAUAUGAAGUUGAUCUUCUAGCUAUUGUAAAUUUGUAAUUACUACGAUCUGUCUUUACAAAAAAGUUUAGGCUUGGAAAUGUAUUCAUAAAUGAGUGAUGAGCCUUGGUAGGUGAUCCAACAUAAUCAGUUGUACAGCUAAGAGGUCUAGUGUAUUUUAAAGGGGUAGGUCCUUCAAUAAUACAUGGGGCACAGUUGAUCA